GAACGCUGGCGGCGUGCCUAAUACAUGCAAGUCGUACGCUUCUUUUUCCACCGGAGCUUGCUCCACCGGAAAAAGAAGAGUGGCGAACGGGUGAGUAACACGUGGGUAACCUGCCCAUCAGAAGGGGAUAACACUUGGAAACAGGUGCUAAUACCGUAUAACAAUCGAAACCGCAUGGUUUUGAUUUGAAAGGCGCUUUCGGGUGUCGCUGAUGGAUGGACCCGCGGUGCAUUAGCUAGUUGGUGAGGUAACGGCUCACCAAGGCCACGAUGCAUAGCCGACCUGAGAGGGUGAUCGGCCACAUUGGGACUGAGACACGGCCCAAACUCCUACGGGAGGCAGCAGUAGGGAAUCUUCGGCAAUGGACGAAAGUCUGACCGAGCAACGCCGCGUGAGUGAAGAAGGUUUUCGGAUCGUAAAACUCUGUUGUUAGAGAAGAACAAGGAUGAGAGUAACUGUUCAUCCCUUGACGGUAUCUAACCAGAAAGCCACGGCUAACUACGUGCCAGCAGCCGCGGUAAUACGUAGGUGGCAAGCGUUGUCCGGAUUUAUUGGGCGUAAAGCGAGCGCAGGCGGUUUCUUAAGUCUGAUGUGAAAGCCCCCGGCUCAACCGGGGAGGGUCAUUGGAAACUGGGAGACUUGAGUGCAGAAGAGGAGAGUGGAAUUCCAUGUGUAGCGGUGAAAUGCGUAGAUAUAUGGAGGAACACCAGUGGCGAAGGCGGCUCUCUGGUCUGUAACUGACGCUGAGGCUCGAAAGCGUGGGGAGCAAACAGGAUUAGAUACCCUGGUAGUCCACGCCGUAAACGAUGAGUGCUAAGUGUUGGAGGGUUUCCGCCCUUCAGUGCUGCAGCUAACGCAUAAGCACUCC
rnacentral:rRNA from 1 species